UUCCUCUCAGGGUCACACCUGGAGAGUUUCCAGUACUCUCCCAGUCUCGGCUAUGGGAGGGAGAGUCAAGCAGAGGCAUACCCAUUCCUUUCCUGGCUUGGGUAGUGGCUAGCAAGUGGAACGCAAUCUGCUACAAGU
rfam:Ornithorhynchus anatinus chromosome 1, whole genome shotgun sequence.